UACAGAGGGUGCAAGCGUUAAUCGGAAUUACUGGGCGUAAAGCGCGCGUAGGUGGUUCGUUAAGUUGGAUGUGAAAUCCCCGGGCUCAACCUGGGAACUGCAUCCAAAAACUGGCGAGCUAGAGUAGGGCAGAGGGUGGUGGAAUUUCCUGUGUAGCGGUGAAAUGCGUAGAUAUAAGGAAGGAACACCAGUGGCGAAGGCGACCACCUGGGCUCAUACUGAC
rnacentral:rRNA from 1 species